CUCUGAGGGAUUUAAAAGUGGUGCAGAUAAAUCUGCAAUUCAUUGACACCCUAUAAGAUAUGAAAUGUCGAUAGACUUUUAUCUCGAACCUGAUUAUUUAAGAAACAUUAUAGGAUGACCAGUACUUACUAGGAAUAACUGAGAUAGGUCACCCCAGAUAAUAUCUACCUCACAUGUAUCUCUGGGUGUUAGCUUAAAGGCACUAUAUCACACCACACUUCUCUAAAAAUGAAUAAUGCAUGUCUCUCAAUACAAAUAACUAUCAGAUCCCAGGGAAGCUACCAUAUAAUUUAUUCCAAA